AGUCGACGCUUCUUUUUCCACCGGAGCUUGCUCCACCGGAAAAAGAGGAGUGGCGAACGGGUGAGUAACACGUGGGUAACCUGCCCAUCAGAAGGGGAUAACACUUGGAAACAGGUGCUAAUACCGUAUAACAAUCAAAACCGCAUGGUUUUGAUUUGAAAGGCGCUUUCGGGUGUCGCUGAUGGAUGGACCCGCGGUGCAUUAGCUAGUUGGUGAGGUAACGGCUCACCAAGGCCACGAUGCAUAGCCGACCUGAGAGGGUGAUCGGCCACAUUGGGACUGAGACACGGCCCAAACUCCUACGGGAGGCAGCAGUAGGGAAUCUUCGGCAAUGGACGAAAGUCUGACCGAGCAACGCCGCGUGAGUGAAGAAGGUUUUCGGAUCGUAAAACUCUGUUGUUAGAGAAGAACAAGGAUGAGAGUAACUGUUCAUCCCUUGACGGUAUCUAACCAGAAAGCCACGGCUAACUACGUGCCAGCAGCCGCGGUAAUACGUAGGUGGCAAGCGUUGUCCGGAUUUAUUGGGCGUAAAGCGAGCGCAGGCGGUUUCUUAAGUCUGAUGUGAAAGCCCCCGGCUCAACCGGGGAGGGUCAUUGGAAACUGGGAGACUUGAGUGCAGAAGAGGAGAGUGGAAUUCCAUGUGUAGCGGUGAAAUGCGUAGAUAUAUGGAGGAACACCAGUGGCGAAGGCGGCUCUCUGGUCUGUAACUGACGCUGAGGCUCGAAAGCGUGGGGAGCAAACAGGAUUAGAUACCCUGGUAGUCCACGCCGUAAACGAUGAGUGCUAAGUGUUGGAGGGUU
rnacentral:rRNA from 1 species